UACGGGGGGAGCAAGCGUUGUUCGGAUUUACUGGGCGUAAAGGGCGCGUAGGCGGUCAGCACAAGUCAGUUGUGAAAUCUCCGAGCUUAACUCGGAAAGGUCAACUGAUACUGUGCGGCUAGAGUGCGGAAGGGGCAACUGGAAUUCUUGGUGUAGCGGUGAAAUGCGUAGAUAUCAAGAGGAACACCUGCGGCGAAGGCGGGUUGCUGGGCCGACACUGACGCUGAGACGCGAAAGCCAGGGGAGCGAACGGG
rnacentral:rRNA from 1 species